rnacentral:rRNA from 1 species
GACGAACGCUGGCGGCGUGCCUAAUACAUGCAAGUCGAACGAGAGCGACCGGUGCUUGCACUGGUCAAUCUAGUGGCGAACGGGUGAGUAACACGUGGGUAUCCUGCCCAUCAGAGGGGGAUAACAUCCGGAAACGGAUGCUAAAACCGCAUAGGUCUUCGAACCGCAUGGUUUGAAGAGGAAAGGAGGCGCAAGCUUCUGCUGAUGGAUGGACCCGCGGUGCAUUAGCUAGUUGGUGAGGUAACGGCUCACCAAGGCCGUGAUGCAUAGCCGACCUGAGAGGGUGAUCGGCCACAUUGGGACUGAGACACGGCCCAAACUCCUACGGGAGGCAGCAGUAGGGAAUCUUCCGCAAAGGACGCAAGUCUGACGGAGCAACGCCGCGUGAGUGAAGAAGGUUUUCGGAUCGUAAAACUCUGUUGUUAGAGAAGAACAAGUGCUAGAGUAACUGUUAGCGCCUUGACGGUAUCUAACCAGAAAGCCACGGCUAACUACGUG